rnacentral:rRNA from 1 species
UUGGAGGGCAAGUCUGGUGCCAGCAGCCGCGGUAAUUCCAGCUCCAAUAGCGUAUAUUAAAGUUGUUGCAGUUAAAAAGCUCGUAGUUGAAUCUCGGGAUCAGCAGGUUGGUCGUGCCUCUGGUAUGCACUGGUUUCGCUGAUUCCUCCUUUCUGAAGAACUGUAAUGUCAUUAAUUUGGUGUUGCAGGGAAACAGGACUGUUACUUUGAAAAAAUUAGAGUGUUUAAAGCAAGCUAACGCUUGAAUACAUUAGCAUGGAAUAAUGAAAUAGGACGUUUGAUCCUAUUUUGUUGGUUUCUAGGAUUGACGUAAUGAUUAAUAGGGAUAGUUGGGGGCAUUAGUAUUCAAUUGUCAGAGGUGAAAUUCUUGGAUUUAUUGAAGACUAACUACUGCGAAAGCAUUUGCCAAGGAUGUUUUCAUUAAUCAAGAACGAAAGUUAGGGGAUCGAAGACGAUCAGAUACCGUCGUAGUCUUAACCAUAAACUAUGCCGACUAGGGAUCGGAUGAUGUUAAUUUUUUAAUGACUCAUUCGGCGCCUUACGGGAAAC